UACAGAGGUCUCAAGCGUUGUUCGGAUUCAUUGGGCGUAAAGGGUGCGUAGGCGGCGCGGUAAGUCGGGUGUGAAAUUUCGAGGCUUAACUUCGAAACUGCAUUCGAUACUGCCGUGCUUGAGGACUGGAGAGGAGACUGGAAUUUACGGUGUAGCGGUGAAAUGCGUAGAUAUCGUAAGGAAGACCAGUGGCGAAGGCGGGUCUCUGGACAGUUCCUGACGCUGAGGCGCGAAAGCGUGGGGAGCAAACGGG
rnacentral:rRNA from 1 species